rnacentral:sRNA from 1 species
GUCUUCUUCCUCUUCUUCU